CCUACGGGAGGCAGCAGUGGGGAAUAUUGCACAAUGGGGGAAACCCUGAUGCCUCGCCGCCGCUUGCGUUCCUCCUCUUUUCUUCUCUUCCCUCUCUUUCCUCUUUGAAGAAACACGGUUCGCGAGAGCCGCGGACGGUACCCGACCAAGAAGCCCCGGCUAACUACGUGCCAGCAGCCGCGGUAAUACGUAGGGGGCAAGCGUUAUCCGGAUUCACUGGGUGUAAAGGGAGCGUAGACGGCGAGACAAGUCUGGAGUGAAAGGCCGGGGCCCAACCCCGGGACUGCUCUGGAAACUGCCUGGCUGGAGUACAGGAGAGGUAAGUGGAAUUCCGAGUGUAGCGGUGAAAUGCGUAGAUAUUAGGAGGAACACCAGUGGCGAAGGCGGCUUACUGGACUGUAACUGACGUUGAGGCUCGAAAGCGUGGGGAGCAAACAGGAUUAGAUACCCUUGUAGUC
rnacentral:rRNA from 1 species